UCCAGACUCCUACGGGAGGCAGCAGUGAGGAAUAUUGGUCAAUGGGCUUACGCCUGAACCAGCCAAGUCGCGUGAGGGAAGACUGCCCUAUGGGUUGUAAACCUCUUUUGUCAGGGAGCAACGCCGGCUACGUGUAGCCGGACUGAGAGUACCUGAAGAAAAAGCAUCGGCUAACUCCGUGCCAGCAGCCGCGGUAAUACGGAGGAUGCGAGCGUUAUCCGGAUUUAUUGGGUUUAAAGGGUGCGUAGGCGGGAUGCCAAGUCAGCGGUAAAAUCGCGGGGCUCAACCUCGCUCCGCCGUUGAAACUGGGGAUCUAGAGUGUGCGAGAGGUAUGCGGAAUGCGUGGUGUAGCGGUGAAAUGCAUAGAUAUCACGCAGAACCCCGAUUGCGAAGGCAGCAUACCGGUGCACAACUGACGCUCAGGCACGAAAGCGUGGGUAUCGAACAGGAUUAGAUACCCGGGUAA
rnacentral:rRNA from 1 species